rnacentral:lncRNA from 1 species
UGAUCAGCUGAGUGAUUUCCAUGUCCUAUUCCUCAUUCCUCUAGUGGUUGAAGCUGUGUAGCAUUUUAACAUAUAUAUAUUCACAAAUAUAUUCAUAUAAACAGUAUACAUUUUGAAUCAGUUAUUUGUUAAAGAAAAGUAUAUUCAAUGAAGAUGAAAUUUAAAAAUUUUAAAAACCAGAGUCUAUCCUCCAGGGAUUGAACAUUUUCCAAUUCUAUCUGGUCUUUUCCUGUUGUGCAAAAAUGACUCAUUGUUCCGAAUGUCAAAAACAAAGAUGACAAACAAUGGUACUUCUUCAUUUCAAGUAACGUUGCCAAGAGAGAAAAUUUCCUGGGAGGGAGGUUUCCCACAAGCCGAAUCUCCUAAGCCUCAAAUGAUAGCACUUUUUGGCAAUUGGAUAGGAAAUAAAGCAUUCUUUGGCAGCCAAAAUGAGUGAGGCCAGUGGUGAAACUUUUCAAGCGCACCAUGGCCUUGUUGUCCAAACCUUCACUGGAGCUCAAGAAAAGCACUUCUGUUGUGUUAUUUGCAGUGCAGAUGAUGUCUGUAACAACAUAAUGGUUAUUCACCUUUUUUUUUCUUUUUUGGUUUUGAUUUUUGCUGUGUAAUCAAAAAACUUGAAUACUGUGAGAAGAAGUGAAUUUUCAGUUGAUGAAUCAGCAUCUUGUUCCCAUGGUGAUAACACUAAUUGAAUAUAUCUAUGAGGGCAUGUAUUAGUUAACGGAAAAAAUACAACACUAACAAUACAUAGCUGCAAUGUGUACAAUGGCUGAUUUAAUUAAAUAAAAUGUACAAGUGUUAAAUGUG